rnacentral:lncRNA from 12 species
GGAAAAACGGCUUGUGCUGGUGUGAUCAAAGGCUGUUAUAAACCCUGUGGAUUAGAGGUCAGCACUGAGCAAAAGCUCUGAAAUCUGUGCACUCCUGAGCUUUUUUUUUGUUUUGGUUUUUUUUGUAAACUUGCUGUUUUAAUAUUAUUGUAUGUGCUACUAUAUAAAAUUAGCACUUUGAAUUCUGGGGAAGAAAGGAUUAGGAAUACAGUUUUAAAACCAGAUGCAGAAUUAAUUGAACCAAGAAUUUCUAAAUAACCAGCUUAGAGUACAGUUUUAAAACCAGAGGCAGAAUGAAUUGAACCAAGAAUUUCUAAAUAACCAGCUUCUAAAUAGCUAGGGUUUUUUCCUAAAUAACCAGAGAAGGUGGAGAGGUUUUAGUGUAUAUAUUAAACUCCUGGAAUAAUGAAGAGCAAGUAUUUUUCUUGGUGACGUCUUAGCUGAGAAGUCCAUAGCUUUGAUCAUAAGGGAUGUAUGUCUCUAGUCUUUGCUUUUUCUCUAAUGAGCUAUAAAAAUAGUAAUCCUUGCUCUUGUUUAAAAUGCUGCUUCAUAUGUACUACUUUCAUGAUCAGGAAAUGUAAGUGCACAGAUCAUACUUUUAAUGAAUGCAGUGCGUUAUAAUCUGAAAUCUGAUGUCAUUAGUUUGUUCUAUAUACGUAUUUCUCAACAACACAUGCAAAUUGUGUCCAUAUUGAAAUUGAGUUCAGUCAGCAGUUAGAGGUGAAAUUGUGAUAUGUUGUAUAUGGCCUAAGUUCUGAACUCAGAUGUCUGCAGCCUUUGCAAAUGAACUGGCACCCUCUGACACUGGGUUGUCUUGCUGAUGGUUGGCUCAGGUGGCUCUGCAGCCUUGUCCUGAGGUAAGUGCAAGGAGGGAGCCUGCUCAGCAGGAGAGGCCACUGGCUGCAGGUGAAGGGCAGCACCUCUGGGUAUCCUGUGCAGCUGGAAGUGCUCUGUGGUGAUGGGGGAGCAGCAGGCAAGGGAAGGGGUGCUGGGAAGCACAGCUGGGAAUGGGAGCCUGCUUGAAAUAGGAGGAAAUUCAGAUCACCUUUCCCUCCCUGGCCUGAUGGCUGGAAUUGCCUGGGCCUCUUGUAUGCAGCUUCUGAUCUUGUGGAAUGGGGGCUUCCUUUUUUCAGGUCCUUGCAGAAACCAGGAGUCAUUCAGCGCUGCACUGCUGUGAAGUACCACUACACCUCCAGCUCUCUGCCUCGCAACUUACCCAUCAACAUCACCAACACCAUCCGGCAGGAUGAGUGGCACGCCCUCCGUAAGUAGCCCAGAGCAGGGCACAGGAAUGUUUGGAUCACUAAAUGCCUUAAUGCAGUGUCAGCU